rnacentral:snRNA from 1 species
AUCGCUUCUCGGCCUUUUGGCUAAGAUCAAAGUGUAGUAUCUGUUCUUAUCAGCUUAAUAUCUGAUACAAGGACCAUGUGUCCUUCUCGAUAUUAAACUUAUUUCUGAGCGGGGAGGGAGACUCACAUGCUUGCAUGGGCUCUUCACGAGUUGGCCUGGUAUUGCAGUAUCUCCAGGAAUUUGGCUCACUUUCC